CCAACCCCACCAACAUGCUCCCUUCUCCAAAUUUAGGGUGGGGGGAGGAAGCGGCAGGGCCCUCAGAAGCCAGAGAACUGAGAUCCGGAGGGGGGGUGGGGUGCAGGAGGCUCCAUUCAAGCAGCUAACAGGAGCGGGUCCUGAAGAGCUAGAGGGAGACCCAGAAGCCCCCACUCCUGUCCCCAGGCUGACAUCCUGGCUGGAGGGUCCCACUCUUUCCUUGAUCAGAGAUCGCUGGGCGCCCAGGAGGCGGUCCCCAGGGACUCCCCGUGCAGCCGCGGCUCAAUCCCCAACAUCCCCCCCCCAUUCUCCCUCCCUCUCCUGCUUUCCAGAAGGGGGACCAGUGGACUGAAUCCCAGCUGCCGGCCGCGCUGGGAAAGGCCUGGAGACCGAUUCCCGGCUUCCGGAGAGCCCCAGGGCCCCCGCCGAGCCCCUCCCCAGCCCGCGGCGGCCGCCUGAGCAUUUAAGGCUCCGGGCUCCAGGCCCCUGCCCUGGCCGGCUUGGCAUUGCCUCUGGCUGAAGACUGAUGGAGAGAGAGGAGGGGUCACCAAGGUUCCGAAAAAACGAGGCUGAUGUAGUUUGCCAGUCAUCUCUGCGUCAUCAAAAUACCACCCCGGAGCCUUCUCUCAAGUCACCUGCCCAUCUGCGGCGUUUGCUGCCUCACGCGGCUCCUCCCCCACCCUGCAGAAAGGCUGCCCUGCCAGGGACAGGCCUCCACCCCCAACCCAGACCUCUAUUUGACCCUCCCGCUGAAGGAGCCGCAGCAGAUGUGAUGCUGGGGUCUCUAAGAGGCAAGAGCCCUUCCCACUCCCCAGAGCCUUCCUUCAAGAGGCCAGAAGACCCAGGUUUGGGAAGAGGGGGAGCUUGCUGUGUGGAGGGCUGCCUGCAACCAGAUCUGAUGCCCCCUCCAUGCUUCUCCUCCCCCCAGGUGAGGGGAAACUGAGUCCCAGCUAGGCUCAUGGAAUGAAGAGGGCACAAACAGAAUUUUCAAGGUCUGGACGUGCACAAGUGUGAAAACCUUGGGCCUCUGAAUUCAGCCCCCUCCCUUUCCCGCUAGUCGGGCCUUGCGGGAUCCCGCUUGGGUUUGAAGGGGCAGUCCAUAAGGCGCCAUCUCCACUCCCCGGGACGGGUACCUCUGGGUCUGUGGCACCGGGCCCAGGGUUCUUCCCUCAAAGCUGCCGGCUCUGCGAGGCGGGGGGUGUGCGAGGCUCGGGGGCAGUGCCGGGCCGGCCGCAGCCGCAGUGGUGCAAUCGUUCUGGGAAGCGACCGUGGCCGGCCAGGGUCUCUGUGGCAGGGGUCGGGCGGGGCGGAGGAGGCGGAGGCGGGAAGAGGAGCCUGCACGGGAGGCCCCGGUCUGAGGCUCCUCCGCCCCGCGGUCCGCCAGGGCCGCACCGGCUGCUAGGGGCUGCGCGGGGGC